UACGUAGGGUGCGAGCGUUAAUCGGAAUUACUGGGCGUAAAGCGUGCGCAGGCGGUUUUGUAAGCCAGAUGUGAAAUCCCCGGGCUUAACCUGGGAAUGGCAUUUGGGACUGCAAGGCUUGAGUGCGGCAGAGGAGACUGGAAUUCCUGGUGUAGCAGUGAAAUGCGUAGAUAUCAGGAGGAACACCGAUGGCGAAGGCAGGUCUCUGGGCUGACACUGACGCUCAUGCACGAAAGCGUGGGGAGCAACAAG
rnacentral:rRNA from 1 species